CUACGGGUCGCAGCAGUGGGGAAUAUUGCACAAUGGGCGCAAGCCUGAUGCAGCAACGCCGCGUGAGGGACGAAGGCCUUCGGGUUGUAAACCUCUUUUAGCUGGGAAGAAGCGAAAGUGACGGUACCUGCAGAAAAAGCACCGGCUAACUACGUGCCAGCAGCCGCGGUAAUACGUAGGGUGCAGGCGUUGUCCGGAAUUAUUGGGCGUAAAGAGCUCGUAGGCGGUUUGUCGCGUCUGCUGUGAAAACCCGAGGCUCAACCUCGGGCUUGCAGGGGGUACGGGCAGACUAGAGUGCGGUAGGGGAGAUUGGAAUUCCUGGUGUAGCGGUGGAAUGCGCAGAUAUCAGGAGGAACACCGAUGGCGAAGGCAGAUCUCUGGGCCGUAACUGACGCUGAGGAGCGAAAGCAUGGGGAGCAAACAGGAUUAGAUACCCUCGUAGUC
rnacentral:rRNA from 1 species